AGUUUCCGCAGUCGAUGAUGGCGUUGUAGGAGGCGUUUACCGAGCCGAAGUAGUACUGGGUCUGUUUCAUGACGCAGCUGCUCUCGCGCGUCUCGGGGCUCCCCUCGGCCUCCGCGGGGUCUGCGAGGGCCCAGAGCGCCUCAGCUCCGCCCACAGACCCUGGCAAGGUCUCCGGCCUCCCUCAGUCGUAGACCCCACCCUCCCCAUGGAGUCGUCUUAGCUCAGAUUGGGGACCCGGACUUGAGGAGGCGCCUCCAAAGCCCUACCUACCUGCUUGGAACCAGCUGUGGUAGAUGAGGCCGUAGAGAAGCUGCUGGAACAGGGACCUGCAGCGCACGGGGAGCCGAGUGCAGGUGGUCAGCAGAGGACGAUGCCAUGCCCUACUUCUCUUCUGAGCCCUCCCGGCCAGGGAGCACCUUCUCUACCCACCUCCCGCUCAGGACUCACCAGGCGGCAGCAGAGGUCCACCAGGCCAGGUUAAGGAAAUCUGCAACGGUGGGCUGCAGUGGAGAGAGGGGCGUGGACUGCCACUGCUGCCCCUCGCCCUAGGUCACCCCCAGCUUUAUCAAAUGUCAGAGGUAGGGGGUCAUCUGUGGGCAGGUCUCCCAGUCCCCCCCAUCUCCAGUCCAGGCAUCUCUGGGGACUCACCACAAAGACACCCCGGGGUGCAGCACCCAGGUUGCCAGGGGGCUGAGGGGCACAGGCUGCCUGAUAGUCAUAGGACUCCUUGCGGGUGUAGAAGGAGUUAUUGUAGAGUGCCAGCAUCAGGUUGGCAUCCACCUCACUGAAGAACCUGCCCACCUGAGGAUGUCAGGAGAAAGCCAUGGUCACAGGGCUGGCAGUGCUACACCCCUAGAAGGCUCAAAUCCCUACUCUCUUCUUUCACUCUCUUCCUGAUCCUCACCUGGUCCCACUGAUGGUUCUGGUUUGACAGCACCAGGAAUCCUCCAUCAUCAAUGAGGACACAGAGCUGGGUGAUGCCUACGUGUUGAGAUCCUGGUCCCUCCACACACGCUCUACCAGCUGCUGCGUGAUGCCCGUGUCCAAGAUCAGGUUGUGCAGAAGGAAGUUGUUGCCUGGAACAGGAGGGGAGGGGUGGGGGUGGGGGCAUCUUCUUGCAGCUCCUUGCCCACCCUCACCCCCACCCUUAAGGCUCCACCAGGAGCCUCCUCCAUGACCUGGCCCUGGCCCAGGCCCAGCCCUUAGCUUGUGCCUGCUUAUUUCCACACCUGCCCGGCCUCUGGGUUCCUCUGGGCUGGCCCCAUGCUGCCUGGGCACUGCCCAGAGCCAGCUGCCCUGCCAGGCACUCACACUGCUUGGAGUCUGGAGUCACUUUCUCCAUGAGCUCAAUAAAGUUUUUCAGGAACUCGG